rnacentral:rRNA from 1 species
GAUGAACGCUGACAGAAUGCUUAACACAUGCCAGUCAUUGGCGAAGCUGCGCUUGCGCAGUCUAGCCAAGGCGGACGGGUGAGUAACGCGUAAGGAACUUGCCCUGCAGACAGGGAUAACAGACGGAAACGACUGAUAACACCUGGUAUUGUCAGGCUGGCGCAUGCCGGCCUGAUGAAAGGAGACGCUGCAGGAGAGCCUUGCGUCCUAUUAGCUAGUUGGUGGGGUAACGGCCCACCAAGGCGAUGAUAGGUAGCCGGCCUGAGAGGGUGAACGGCCACAAGGGGACUGAGAUACGGCCCUUACUCCUACGGGAGGCAGCAGUGGGGAAUAUUGGACAAUGGGGGCAACCCUGAUCCAGCAAUUCUGUGUGCACGAAGAAGGUUUUCGGAUUGUAAAGUGCUUUCAGCAGGGAAGAAGAAAGUGACGGUACCUGCAGAAGAAGCGACGGCUAAAUACGU